rnacentral:rRNA from 1 species
GACGAACGCUGGCGGCGUGCUUAACACAUGCAAGUCGAACGCUGAAGCCUAGCUUGCUGGGUGGAUGAGUGGCGAACGGGUGAGUAACACGUGAGUAACCUGCCCCCUUCUUUGGGAUAACGCCCGGAAACGGGUGCUAAUACUGGAUAUUCACUGAUCUUCGCAUGGGGGUUGGUGGAAAGGUUUGUUCUGGUGGGGGAUGGGCUCGCGGCCUAUCAGCUUGUUGGUGGGGUGAUGGCCUACCAAGGCUUUGACGGGUAGCCGGCCUGAGAGGGUGACCGGUCACAUUGGGACUGAGAUACGGCCCAGACUCCUACGGGAGGCAGCAGUGGGGAAUAUUGCACAAUGGGCGCAAGCCUGAUGCAGCGACGCCGCGUGAGGGAUGGAGGCCUUCGGGUUGUAAACCUCUUUCGCUCAUGGUCAAGCCGCAACAGUGGUUGUGGUGAGGGUAGUGGGUAAAGAAGCGCCGGCUAACUACGUGCCAGCAGCCGCGGUAAUACGUAGGGCGCGAGCGUUGUCCGGAAUUAUUGGGCGUAAAGGGCUUGUAGGCGGUUGGUCGCGUCUGCCGUGAAAUCCUCUGGCUUAACUGGGGGCGUGCGGUGGGUACGGGCUGACUUGAGUGCGGUAGGGGAGACUGGAACUCCUGGUGUAGCGGUGGAAUGCGCACAUAUCACGAAGAACACCGGUGGCGAAGGCGGGUCUCUGGGCCGUUACUGACGCUGAGGAGCGAAAGCGUGGGGAGCGAACAGGAUUAUAUACCCUAGUAGUCCAAGGGCGAAUUCCUCAGUGGAUAUAAGCUUAUCGAUGCCGUCGCCUCGAGGGGGGGCCGGUAGCCGCUUUCUCUCCCUAUUACUCUAGAUUAUG